GACGAACGCUGGCGGCGUGCCUAAUACAUGCAAGUAGAACGCACAGUUUAUACCGUAGCUUGCUACACCAUAGACUGUGAGUUGCGAACGGGUGAGUAACGCGUAGGUAACCUGCCUGGUAGCGGGGGAUAACUAUUGGAAACGAUAGCUAAUACCGCAUAAUAUUAAUUAUUGCAUGAUAAUUAAUUGAAAGGUGCAAUUGCACCACUACCAGAUGGACCUGCGAUGUAUUAGCUAGUAGGGGAGGUAACGGCUCACCUAGGCGACGAUUCAUAGCCGACCUGAGAGGGUGGUCGGCCCAACUGGGACUGAGACACGGCCCAGACUCCUACGGGAGGCCGCAGGAGGGAAUCUUCGGCAAUGGACGAAAGUCUGACCGAGCAACGCCGCGUGAGUGGAGAAGGUUUUCGGAUCGUAAAGCUCUGUUGUAAGGGAAGAACGGGUGUGAGAGUGGAAAGUUCACACUGUGACGGUAUCUUACCAGAAAGGGACGGCUAACUACGUG
rnacentral:rRNA from 1 species